rnacentral:rRNA from 1 species
GUAGGUGGCAAGCGUUGUCCGGAAUUAUUGGGCGUAAAGCGCGCGCAGGCGGUUCUUUAAGUCUGAUGUGAAAGCCCACGGCUCAACCGUGGAGGGUCAUUGGAAACUGGAGAACUUGAGUACAGAAGAGGAAAGCGGAAUUCCACGUGUAGCGGUGAAAUGCGUAGAGAUGUGGAGGAACACCAGUGGCGAAGGCGGCUUUCCGGUCUGUAACUGACGCUGAGGCGCGAAAGCGUGGGGAGCAAACAGGGAUUAGAUACCCUGGUAGUCCACGCCGUAAACGAUGAGUGCUAAGUGUUAGGGGGUUUCCCGCCCCUUAGUGCUGCAGCUAACGCAUUAAGCACUCCGCCUGGGGAGUACGGCCGCAAGGCUG